GACGAACGCUGGCGGCGUGCCUAACACAUGCAAGUCGAACGGAGUGUUGCGCUGAUUUGAUAUUAGCUUGCUAAUGGAUUUUCUUGUAACACUUAGUGGCGGACGGGUGAGUAACGCGUGAGCAACCUGCCUUACAGAGGGGGACAACAGUUGGAAACGACUGCUAAUACCGCAUAACGUGUCUGGGGGACAUCCCCUGGAUACCAAAGGAGCAAUCCGCUGUAAGAUGGGCUCGCGUCCGAUUAGAUAGUUGGUGGGGUAAAGGCCUACCAAGUCGACGAUCGGUAGCCGGACUGAGAGGUUGAACGGCCACAUUGGGACUGAGACACGGCCCAGACUCCUACGGGAGGCAGCAGUGGGGGAUAUUGCACAAUGGAGGAAACUCUGACGCAGUGACG
rnacentral:rRNA from 1 species